rnacentral:rRNA from 1 species
GAUUUGGGCACUGUCUCAACGAGAGACUCGGUGAAAUUUUAGUACCUGUGAAGAUGCAGGUUACCCGCGACAGGACGGAAAGACCCCAUGGAGCUUUACUGCAGUUUGAUAUUGAGUGUCUGUACCACAUGUACAGGAUAGGUAGGAGUCUAAGAGAUCGGGACGCCAGUUUCGAAGGAGACGCUGUUGGGAUACUACCCUUGUGUUAUGGCCACUCUAACCCAGAUAGGUGAUCCCUAUCGGAGACAGUGUCUG